rnacentral:rRNA from 1 species
UUCUUGGUGGCCAUGGAGGUUGGGGUACACCCGAUCCCAUUCCGAACUCGGAAGUUAAGCCAACCAUCGCCGAUGAUACUGCAGGGGAGCCUGUGGGAAAGUAGGUCGCUGCCAAGAU